UUGGAGGGCAGUCUGGUGCCAGCAGCCGCGGUAAUUCCAGCUCCAAUAGCGUAUAUUAAAGUUGUUGCAGUUAAAAAGCUCGUAGUUGAACCUCGGGGUCUACCCAUUGGUCAGGCUUAAUUGUCUGCACUGGUGAGAUGAAUCUCUACCUUCUGAGGAACUUUCAUGCCAUUUAUUUGGUGUGAUGGGAAAUCAGGACUGUUACUUUGAAAAAAUUAGAGUGUUUAAAGCAGGCUAACGUCUGAAUACAUUAGCAUGGAAUAAUGAAAUAGGACGGACUGAUUCUAUUUCGUUGGUUUCUAGGAUCACCGUAAUGAUUAAUAGGGAUAGUUGGGGGCAUUUGUAUUCAAUUGUCAGAGGUGAAAUUCUUGGAUUUAUUGAAGACUAACUACUGCGAAAGUAUUUGCCAAGGAUGUCUUCAUUAAUCAAGAACGAAAGUUAGGGGAUCGAAGACGAUCAGAUACCGUCGUAGUCUUAACCAUAAACUAUGCCGACUAGGGAUCGGACGAAGUUAAUUUUAUAAUGACGCGUUCGGCGCCUUACGGGAAAC
rnacentral:rRNA from 1 species